GUUGUGUAAGGACUGGAUUCCAGAUCAUUUCUCAGAUGCUCUCACACUGGCAAAUGCGGAGAGUCCCUGAACAGCAUCGAGAAUCCUUCUUCACCAAUGCACGGCAUCAGAUUCCUGGGGCUGCGAGCACCAGGCCCACACACCAGACCAGGCCCACACGAACGGAGGAGUCUCUCACACCUGGUGCCAGGACUCGAAGUGAACUUUGAGGACCAGGUCUUCUAAACAGCGAGGAUCACGACGGCCAAUCAGAAGAGGCCGCAGGGUAUCAGCAGCACGGGGAGCGGGCCUCCGGGGUUUUCGCCCUGUCCUCCUGGGAGCUGACCUUUACAUGACCUUUGCACUUUCCCCUGCUCCUGCUUCCUCAGCCUCUCCUGCCUCUGAAGCCAUCGCCCCCACUCAGCUCCUCCGAGCACCUCUGCUAAAUUUUUACCUGGGAUGCUGCACGAGCACAGAAGUCAGUUACAAUAAUAAGCACGACAAUAGAAACUAAAUUUUCAAGAGCUCCAAUGUAACUGGAGCCUGAAGGCAACCUGGUUAACCAUUACAUACUUAGUACUUCAGUAUUCCACGGUAUAGUACAGUACUUUUUUUUUUGAGACAGGGUCUUGCCUUGUAGUCCAGGCUGGCCCCAAACUUUCAGCGAUCUUCCUGCCUCAGCCUCCUGAGUGCUGUGAUUACAGGUGCGCACCACUAUGCCCCAGUUAGUAGUUAGCUAUUCUAAAAGACACCUCAAGUGAAGGAGAGUUAGAGAUACUUCUUCCUAGUCUAGAGCAGUCUUGCAAGUUCACACAGAACAAAUCUCUCUCUCUCUGUCUCUUAUACACACACAUACACACUUGUACACUUACAGUCUCAGACUUUCACACAUACAACUUUCUUACACAGGCACAUACUCAGAGCUCUCACACACAUGCACACUCACACCUUCACUUUUAGCACACAUUUACACACCAUUUCAUAUGCACCCUUACACACCCAUGCACACAGGCCUCACACACCCAAGUAACUCUCAUUCACACAAGGCACACAUAUGCACACACUGUCACACGCUCUUUCACUGCCCUGACACACACUGCCCUCAUGGUUGGCUAGGUUCAAACUGUCACCUUCUUGGUUAUGUGGAUUAUCUUGGUUAUCUUCCCCUCGGUGGGGCUAGUUUUGACUGCAUUGAAGUAUGGCUCUGGGCAAUCGUAGUAAAGCUCCUGACCAGACAGAAAGAUCCACCUGCAGAUGGCCGGAGCGACGCGUCUGGGCUGUGUUUGCCCUGGUCCGCGGCACCGUCCUUUAACUUCCAGGUGUUACGUGUAAGCCAGGAAUUCCCACACCCAGCGAGGCUCUCUAGCUGCUCCCUGCAAGUUCGGGAAGUAUUCCAGGCUCUGCAGUCCUGCGGUGCGGGCAUCCCGGAGACCAAAGCCGGGGUCACUCUGAAGAUUAGCUGUGGUCUGUGGGCCGCAGCUCCACACAACAUCAGGCUCCUUGGGUUGGCAGAAGGUGGCAGAAGAUCCUGCUUGAAAAGUGCCCGGGAGGCUGCAAUCUAGAAGACUUUCUAGUCACUCAGAAACAUCCGAGUCCUCUGUGAACCUCGACGAUUUGGAGACGACUCUUGCUAACUUUUCAGAGACAGACGACUACGUUUGUGCCUGUUUGGCCUCUGACUUGUGCAAGAGGGAUUCAGUUGCUUAUUUAUGUUGAGUUCGGGUGAAGCGAGCUGUGAGCCUGGUAGACACCAGCACAGGGGAAGACUUCCUGAGGGAGGUGGGAUUCGAGUGUGGCCUUCAAGAACCAAGGGCAUCGCCAGAGGGGAG
ensembl:lncRNA